rnacentral:snoRNA from 1 species
UCCAGCGGUAGUCAGCUACCCAUUGCUGCUUAGUGCCUGUGAUAGUGUUAUGCUGCUGGGAGAGAAACACGCUGCUGAGUCGCUCCUGGCACCUCUGGUGCUGUUCUAGUGCUAGAUGGUGCCAGGUUUUGGCAACAUGCUGCAUGCUUGAGAGUGGAGUAACUCCUGUUCUGUGGAGUGAAUCCUAGACUGGAUGCAGACAAC